rnacentral:rRNA from 1 species
AUGAAGAAGGCAUGCAAGCUCAUGACUUCGAGAUCAUCCUUUGUAGCAGCAAUUCUCUUCUUGGUCAUGUCUUCAAGCUGUAGAUUCGCACGUGCGGCGGAUACUCUCCUUCCAGGCCAAUCUCUGUAUGGUAACCGUACCCUAUUCUCGAAGAAUGGUGCCUUUGAGUUGAGUUUCAGCUGCCUAUCUCCUCCAUGUUCAGACUUUACAUUUGGCAUCUGGUAUGUCAACUCAUCAACUUGUAGUGCUCUUCUAGUUUGGUCACCUCCUCAAUUGCAAGGGUACCUCACCUCAGACCAUUGGAACUCGAUUCUUACCCUCUCAAAUGGCAACUUGUACCUCACCUUGCUGACCUAUGGCCAUGAUGCUAUUAUCUGGUCAUCAGAUGGUAUUGUGGAGAGACCAAAUGAAUCUACUUCUGCAGUUGCAGUACUUCUUGACAACGGAGAUCUGGUAAUAAGAGACAAAGUGAAUAGUUCAUUAUUGUUCUGGCAUAGCUUCGAUCACCCAACUGACACACUGCUACCUGGAGGACGGCUGGGAUAUGUUAAUAAUAUGAUCAGUACCAGGGGGCCUACUGAUGCUGUUUCUUGCGUCAGUUAUUCUAAACUGCGGAUGAAUAUAGACAGAGAAUUUACUGUUUUCACUUAUUACAACACUUCUUAUUACCUCAGUUAUAUUUAUACCAAUUAUUCCGGCACCUUCCCCAGGUGGAUGGAUAUUCAUGGAUAUUUGUCCAACAAUUCACAUUUAUAUUUACGGUUGCAUUAUGAUGGUACCAUUACUGCUGCUAAACUAUGGGGCUGUGGGACUGUGUUGUGGUCUGCUCAAGGUUCCAAGCAGGAAAACUCAGAAUGCAAGCAACAAGUAUUAGAUUCCAAGCAAGAAAAGUCAAAUUCAAAAAUUAAAAUCGUUGUUCUGAUUACAGUGGUAGGUGUGUUUACCAUUAUGCUUGUUUGCCUUGUUAUUUCCUGGAGAAGGAGAAAGAAGCUAUCCCUGGAACUACCAUUGAGUUCCAAUAGCAGCCUCGAGAUCUUUUCCAGCAUGCAAAUGAAGAAGGCAACGAAUAAUUUCUCCGAAAAACUUGGAGAAGGAGGUUUCGGUUGUGUUUACAAGGGGGCAUUGGCAAGUUUGUCUCUAGUGGCGGUCAAAAAGCUAAAAUGCAUUGGGCAAGGGGAAAAGCAAUUCCGAGCAGAAGUACAGACAAUUGGCAUAAUUCACCACAUUAAUCUUGUCCGAUUGUUUGGUUUUUGUGCCGAAGGGCAGAAACGGUUGCUGGUAUAUGAGUACAUGGAGAACGGUUCUUUGAGUUCUCAUCUGUUUUCGAAGAGUUCGGCCAUAUUGACCUGGGAUCUUCGGUACCAUAUAGCACUUGGAACUAGGAAUGCAAAGAAUGCAUUAUACACUGUGAUGUGA